rnacentral:lncRNA from 1 species
ACCACUCUGUCUUUUAAGACUAGCUCCCCUUUCUGCACACCCAUUGCUGCCGUCUCUCCCGCUGCGUAUAAAUGAGUCUUUGGAGUAAGCAAGGUCUCUCUGGGCCAGUUCAAAUUUCUAUGCCUCGGCCCUCGUACUGUGGAAUCCUCCCUCCCAUCUUUUUCCUGCAUAUCUCCGAAAAAAAAAAAAAUUAAGUUCUUGGCAUUUCUACGCACGGAUGAAAGACAAGCGGUAGAGGAGGGUGCAGGUGCGGGCGGGCGGAGGCAGGGGCGCCGCGGACGGGCGGCGGCGCGGUGCCUCUUUCCCGCGCGGGAGGCGGCUGGGACCCCGGCCUGGUGCGGGGCCCGCGGCUCUCCGCGCUGCGCAGCCGGAGAGCGGAGGAUUGGGUGUCCGCAGGUACGCGGCGCCCAGCCAGGAGGGAGCCCUUUAGAUGCCGCCAGUUUGCAGAGACGGGGCUGCCCCAAGCCUCGGACUCCCACGCCGCAUCCCGAGCGGGAGAAGCGUCGCUCAACCUUGAAUCCGGCUCGGGGACUGACCCGGACUUGACCUCUCCCUCCGCGCCGCCCGCACUCUCGACCGCACACUGUGGCCCGCAAGCCCAGACGUCGCCAGCAUCGCUCUUUGGUCUCGACGCCCAGCUCCGGGCUCUGGCGCCGAGCUUCCAAGUUGGGGUGGGGACCGGACGGUGUUGUCCGCGGAGUUUGGGGGUAAGCAGGAUAGAGGAUCUCGGCUGGUUCUCGAGUGUCGCCGGCGGGUCAGGCCCAUCCUGUGAGAGACCUCCCCAGCGGACCUGGGCAGCCAAGGUCGAAGUUUUAGGAGUGUAAGGCAGCAAGGCCAAGGACAUUAUGGAGGACAGGGCACACACCAUUCCGGCGCUGCCCUCAAACUUGGGGGCUCCAUGCCUUUUGCGGUUAUUUGCUCUGCACCUCAUUCCUCCCGGCCAGCGCGCACAGCCAAACCCCGCGGCGGCCUGAACCGGGAGGAGGUGCGGGGUGGAGAGGCGGCCCUCCUUAGGUCUCCAGCCUGUCACAUCUGCACUUAUUUAAAGCUCGGCUGGUGGUCCUCGCUCUCUGGAAUGCCAAUUGCAGGCCUGGCCGCCUACGACAUUUGCAUUGAUUAGCCAGCCGGUCAUGGGGGAGGCCAAAGGCAGGGAGAAGGGGGUUUGAGGGAGACAGGAGGUUCACUAUAUUCUUCCUGACCCCGUACUGAGUGAGAGUCAGCUUGGGAGCCCAAAGGUGGUUUCCUUCACACCAGAUAAAGAGUUGAAUUCAUCACGGAACAGAGGACUGAACUUCUAGAACUUUCUAUGUGUAUAGGAAUUGGCUGUUGCCUUGAAGCAUGUUCUUUGUGGUCCACGUGCACACACCACCAUAAAUCUCUGAAGGCUCCAGCGCUGAAUCAGGCAGAGAAGGUGGACAAGCACUGCGACCUCACCUCUCUCCAGGCCCUGCAAGUGUGUAAGGUAGUGUCUGUGAUACGGCGCUUCCUCAGUGGGCAGCUCUGAGAUGUUUGCUGGUGGCCGGCCAUAAAAAGAGAUUGACCUGCCUCAUUGGUCAUAUUGUACACCAGCUCUAAAAAGGUACAGGCAACCUGUCUCAGAGUUCUCACCCCCAAGGGGAAGAGGCAAAUACGUUGGUUGAGAAAGAAGAAAAGUAAGGCAGCCCCCACAGGCUUGGAGAGAGGAGGGAAGGUUCCCAGAGAAGCGAUUUUUAUGCUAUAAACCUGGGAGAGUUCAGUCUGAUUUUGCAUUUGCCUCUAGACUUCGUAUAAUUAAGGGUGAAAAAUAAGGCCCCUCUGUGUUUCUAUUCCCGUUUGCUUUCUGUG